AGGUAAGGAGAAAGAAGGUCUAGAUCAUUGCACAUAGUAGACUAGCUCCUUUCUUCAUUUGGUGCCUUUUGCUCGUGCAUUAGCUGAACUACUAUUACUUUUAUCAUACAAAAAAGAAAACUGCAUCAGAAGGAUUAGGAUGCUAUGGUGACUGGCUAGCUGGAUCUAUAUGGAUUGAUGGAAAAAGGGAAGAGUGGCUCAGCUGCAGAUAAAACAAUGGGAGGAAGCAACCGCCACUUCCCACUUUCAACGUCUCUCGGCCAUGAACAAAAAGGGGAAAAUCUCAUAAGUAUAUACAUCAAAAAAAGGAGAAAGGAGCGGGGGGCAAACAAAGAGAACAAAAGUAAGAGGAAAUAGAAAUCAUCGGAGCAUGGAAGAUAGUUGGAAGAGUAGCACAUUGAAGAAGAGAACGAGUCAUGACAAAGAAAAUUAAGAGUGAGACAAGUCCACAAACACGAAGGAACUGAGGAGCUCCGAGAGAUGAUAUUACAGGUGAUGCUGGCGAUGCAUAGAGAUGGAGAUAGGGCUAGCUUGGGGACUUGCGCUAGGAAAUAAAUUAUGUUUUCUUCUAUUUUGUCGGAUUUUGGAUAUUGUAAUAAGAUUAUUACUUUAGCUUUAAUCGAAUUUUGGCACAUUGAAUAAUGUUUUAAAUUUUCCCGUGUUUGGGAAUAAUAAAAUUUUGUCGUUUGAUCUUCA